CAUUUCAUUCCUCAACCACAAGACACAAUACCAUUCUUUCGGUUUCACUGACACAAACCGCAAAGUGUUAAUUCCUUCUCUGCACAAGCAACUCCUCGGACAGAAGCUUCAGCACCGCACCAUUCAACCAAUCAAAAUUCACUACCAACUUCACACUCAACCGUAAACCACUCCUCUCCACAAACCGCGACUCCACCUUCAUUCUUUCUCUUCACUUCGCACCAGCCAUCCAAGAGCUGCUACAAUUUUUCUUUCCUGCUGCUGUCCGUAAGGUCGAGGGACAUAAGAGAAGCCGUGAGCGAAUCCUUCAUCCAGCUUCCACUUCCAUCGGCUGCACCCAGUUUUCCAGCCGCAACAACCACCCCAGCUCCACCAUCUGCUCAGCCAAGACAACCCAAACUGGAACUCGACCUGCACGUGAAGCCGGGAGAGAGAGAGAGAGGGAGCAGAAAUUUUUCAGAUUUUCGUGUGUGAUCUUAGCUUGCUUUGAGGAUAUUGCGAGGACGCGGAAUUCGAUUUCCAAUUUGACAUCUGAACUUCACUCUUGGAUGUGAAGUUGAAAGUACUUGAGCAGCUUAUAUUUCUUAGGGUUGUACUUGAACAAUUUGAAAGUAAUUUUCGGUUUGUAACGGAUUCUAAGCUAAGCAUUGUACUUUUCGUUUUGGGUUGCCACUUGAAGCUGGAAAAGUGUAAUCUCUAAUUCUAAUACUCAAUUUGUAUGUUUGUGUUAGUAUAGUAAAUCCUUAUCUUUUACGAGCGUCGCUGGAAGUAUUUAAGAA